UACGUAGGGUGCGAGCGUUGUCCGGAAUUACUGGGCGUAAAGAGCUCGUAGGUGGUUUGUCGCGUUGUUCGUGAAAACCUGAGGCUUAACCUUGGGCGUGCGGGCGAUACGGGCAGACUGGAGUACUGCAGGGGAGACUGGAAUUCCUGGUGUAGCGGUGAAAUGCGUAGAUAUCCGGAGGAACACCGGUGGCGAAGGCGGCUUCCUGGACCGACACUGACGCUGAGGCGCGAAAGCUAGGGGAGCAAACGGG
rnacentral:rRNA from 1 species